CUGAGUUGGUUUGCUUACCUCAACGGUUUGUCCCUGUUUGGCGUGUGGCUCUGUUCAUAGGUCUGUAACUGUGUCUUUGCCCGUCAGUCUUCCUGUGACCCUGUGCUUUUCUCUCUUUCUCUCUCUCUCUCUGUCCCUGUCUCUGUCCCUCUGUCCCUGAGUGAUGUGAGGCCGGGCUGGGGGCAGUCGCAGCCGCGUCCUCUCUUGCCCUCAUUGGUUCGCAGCCGCUCCCCCGGGCAGCCGCCGCCAGUCCCGCCCCUCCCCCGAACCCCCGCCCGGGACACGAGCGCGCUCAGAGCCGCCAGAAAGCUCAGUCUCCUGCUCAAAACAGGAGCGCAGCAGCCGGAGGGAGUGGGGACAAGCUCGCUGAACACUGGGCGUCUCGACAGGGACCAGAGCCUGCAGGACUGUUCCGAGACGCUGCGGUGGCGGCGGCGCCGGAGGACGCGGAGGACUCCCUGGCCACCCGCCCUCCGUGCGCUCUGCCACCGGGCGCUCAGCAGAGACCCCGGGCUGCGGCUGCACUUGCUGAGUGCCUCUCCCCGCCGCCGCAGCCCAGAGGCGCCCAGCACCUGGAGCUCACUGGAGCUGAGGGUCCGAGCUGAGCGGGCUGUUGUAAAGCCGAAAGGCGAGUCAGUGACUGGGACCUCUGUCCUGGUGGCGACGGAGAGAAACAGUGAGCCCGAGGGGCGCGGGCACAGAACUGUCCAGCUCCGAGAACUGGGGUCCGCCAGCCGGCGGGGAAAGCAGCUGAGCGCGGAGGCGAGUGAGCGGACGCGUCCCGGGGUCUUUGCAGUCCCCGCCGGCCCCAAGGCACCGACUCUCGAGGGUCCAGUCGGGAAACCUUCCCGAAAGACGGCGGUCGGGUCGGGAAACCUUCCUGAAAGACGGCGCGCCAGCCCGUCUUGCUUGCUCGCCGCCUGCUGACUUCCUUACUUUGCACACGGAAGGGGCAGGAACCGCAAGCGUGCAACUAGCCUGGAGCUACCCGUCUGGACUCGCAGGCCCUGUGGCUGUUUCCCACAGCUGCUACGGCCUCUCUUGCUCCUUGACACCGAGGAGGACCCCACUAGGAUCCGAGCGUCGUGAACUCACCUGAACUUUGGAAGGUUGGCACUGGGGGGCCGCAUCCCCCUGGGAAAUGACUGAACGCGGGGUUUCAGUGGGUCCCGCCUGGGUCUAAGGACCCAGUUUCUUCUGUGAGCACGGGCAGUGGGAGGCCGGUGGAAAGGCGCAGGGGCCCACCUACGCGUCUCACAUCUUCAGGGGCGCAUUUCUACAAUAAAAACUCACCCAAUUAGACCUAGCGCUGAGAACGUGCUGCUUCACUUUCCAUGAGGACAAGAACAAUGAUUCCAGCCCUACUGCCCUGCCUACCAUAAAGUUGGACCUGUGUUAAUCACUCAAUUGGCAAGUAAGUAUUAAUUAGGUUACAGUCCAAACUGCUAUAACAAAGCCAUCCGCCACGCAAGUUUCUUUCUCACAGUACUCUUUCAGGUGUAGCACAGUACUCUUUCAGGGGUAGCACAACUGUCAUCCUCAUCCCUCGGCUUCCAUGUCCACUUCAAGGUAUCUAUGCUAGAUCCUGCCUUCAUAUCUGCAUUCCAGCCACUGAGAAGGGGAAAAGAGCAAGG
rnacentral:lncRNA from 1 species